AGAAUCAAGAAGUUAAUGCAGAAGAUCAACCAAUGAAUCCAGAAAAUGAAGACAAAAAUAAUGAAAAAGACAAUGAAGAAAAACAAAUGAAUGAAGUUUCAAAAGAAGCACAUCACCCAACCAUUGGAGAAUCUGAAGAACAGUCAAAUGAAAGAGAGUUAGAUGGAAAGGAGUUAAUGGAAACAAGCCUCAAAUUAGUUGAAGACAUC